rnacentral:rRNA from 1 species
UACGAAGGGGGCUAGCGUUGCUCGGAAUCACUGGGCGUAAAGCGCACGAAGGCGGCUUUCUAAGUCAGGGGUGAAAUCCUGGAGCUCAACUCCAGAACUGCCUUUGAUACUGGAGAGCUUGAGUCCGGGAGAGGUGAGUGGAACUCCGAGUGUAGAGGUGAAAUUCGUAGAUAUUCGGAAGAACACCAGUGGCGAAGGCGGCUCACUGGCCCGGUACUGACGCUGAUGUGCGAAAGCGUGGGGAGCAAACAGG